AAAAAGUUUUAUUUUAGCUUUAAAAGUUAGUUUUUAUUUUUAUUAUAUGUAAGUUUUUGCGGGAAUUAAAAAAUACUUAAAUAGUUUUUUUUUAAAAAUUUAAUUGCAGUAGUUUAAAUUAUUAUAUGAAAGAAAUUUUGAUAUAGAAAUAUAAUAUUGUAUUGACAAAAUUUGUGCCAGCAGUUGCGGUUAAACAGAUGAUACAAUUAACUUAUAUUAGUAUGAUAAUUAAUAGAUUAAUAAUUUAAUUAGAAAUUAAUUUUUUUAAGUGAAAUUUAAAAAUUAAAUUAAAUUAAAUAAAUGGUUUAUGAUUUUAUGAAAUUUUAAAUAGAUUAGACUAGGAUUAGAUACCCUAUUAUUAGAAACGUAAAAAUUUUAUACUAAGGAAGUAAUAGUUAUGUUCUUGAAAUUUAAAAAAUUUGGCGGUAUUUUAGUCUUUUCAGAGGAACCUGCUCUGUGAUUGAUAGUCCACGUUUAAUUGUACUUGAUUUACAAGUUUGUAUAUCGUCGUAGUUGAGUGUCUUAGGAGAGAAAACAUUCAUAAUGUAUUAUUAUAAUAUAAAUCAGAUCAAGGCGCAGCUUAUAAUUAAGAAGAGGUGGGUUACUAUAAAUUUUUAUUUAAUAUGGUUAAAGUAAUUAAAAUUAUUUUAUAAAUUGGAUUUGAAAGUAAUAUAAUUUAGUUAAAUUAUAUGAUUUAAGCUCUAAAAUAUGCACAUAUCGCCCGUCAUUUCCAUUGCUAUUAAAGUGGGACAAGUCGUAACAGAGUAGAUGUACUGGAAAGUGUACCUAGUAAGGU
rnacentral:ncRNA from 1 species